GGUUAUAUAGCUUAACUUUAAAGCGAAUAAAUGCAGGUUGUUUGAUCCCAGUGUAAAUCUGAGUAUAACCU
rfam:Theileria parva strain Muguga apicoplast, complete genome, whole genome shotgun sequence.